rnacentral:rRNA from 1 species
UACAGAGGGGGCUAGCGUUAUUCGGAAUUAUUGGGCGUAAAGGGCGCGUAGGCGGCCACGCGUGUCUUUCGUGAAAUCCCUCGGCUUAACUGAGGACGUGCGGAAGAAACUGCGAGGCUUGAGUCCGGGAGAGGGGGGUGGAAUUCCCAGUGUAGCGGUGAAAUGCGUAGAUAUUGGGAGGAACACCGGUGGCGAAGGCGGCCCCCUGGACCGGUACUGACGCUGAGGAGCGAAAGCGUGGGGAGCAAACAGG